UGUUGCAUUAGUAACACUCUUUUUCGGUAGUGUUUAUAUCAAAACACAUUCAUAUUCUACUAAAACAAAAAACAUUUCAACUCUUUUAACACACACACACACUCUCUCUCUCUCUCUCUCCAUGUGUUCCAGCUAACCAGAAGCAAACGUUCGAACAUGGCCGCAAAGCUAAAUGUGCGAUUCCAAUCACAGGGUUGAAGAAAUGGAUAUUAGUUCCUCGAUGAUACAGAAGUCGGUCAGUUUCCCGUCACACACAACCAAACUAUUGCUGCUUCAGCUCCGACAGUGGGUGGCUAUUAGAGCUAUUAGAAACCUGUAAUAGUGCAAAAGCAGACUUAAAGGAUACUGCUACUAGAGUUAUUGCCGAGGGUCUGUGACCGGAUCAGACAAUGGUGUCAAAAGUAAUGACCCGAAUCCUUUAUUUGUGACAUCAAAUACGUUGGCUAUUGAUGCUCUUCAAAAGAUGGUCUAAGAACAAAAAGUUGAAUACUAUAAAAGGAUGUGAGAAGAUUUGAAGAAGAAAGAAAGGAAAAGACAUGGGAAGACGGGGGAUAUAGACUACAAUUAUACCUGUGACUAUGUUAUAAUUAUAGAGUACAUGGUACAUUGGAUGAAAACUUGUAAUCGUUUUAGUAUGUAAUUCAAAAUGUGUUGCAUAGUGCAUAGUUCAUUUUCAUUAUGCAAGACAGGGGAAAUUUUAUAGAGUAUGUAAUUCAAAUUGGUUAUUAAAACUUGUCUCUAAUAUGUUAA